CCAAAAUGGUGAAAGAAUAUUUGGGUACAGCAUAGGCCAGCUCCCCUCCACUCUCUACACAUACCAUUCAGCAUAGGCUCCGCUCCCUCCACUCUCUAGCAAGGAUUCGAACUGUGAGGGCUGUGACCUGUGAUAGGCGACGCAACAGAAGACCAGGGAAAAAGAAGGGUCAAGUUUCGUUGUGCAUCAUCGAUCAGGGUACUGCGAGAUGAACGGGGAUUGUGAGAACUGUGCUUUCUGGAGGAAUCAUUACUACUGGGAACACAUGGGUGACGAGAAGAAGCAAUUUUCUGCUGUAGCCAAAGGUGAUUUCAAGAACAACAUGCGUAUACCACGGGAACUUUCAACCAAUCUGAGGAGUAGGAUCUCUGACACCAUUAAACUCAGCGCUCCUAAUGGUAGGGCAUAUGAUAUUGUGGUGACCUGGGAAUCACUACAAAAAAAUACAAUUCUGUGAUGAUACGUGUUUGUCACAGUAGAUUGCGUUUUUGUCAUGCAUGUACAUUCAUGACAAAUUUAUGACAGAAUCAAGAUAGUCAUA